GCGGAAAGGACGAACGACUCGCCGCGCUGCCAGCCAGUCGAUCCCGGGCGCUCGAGCAGGAAGGAUGUACGACGCUCCGCUCAGGGGAUCUUUAGACCAUGUGAACGCGCCCUGGGGUUAAUGCAGCUGGGUGCGUGGGGCGGCUUGCGAGACAGUCAGUCCGUUCGAAAUGCGUUGCCGAAUGACUGGUGGCGGGAGGGAAGGGGGGCGAGACUGUCUGUGACCAGAUUGGGUUCCGUGUGCCAGUUAAGGCGGUUCGUUCGCUAUGACUGGUGCUGCAUUGUGUGCUUUCGAGGCAGUUCGAAUCCCUUGUUGCUUUGAGAAUGACGGAAUGCGGGGAUAGCGUCUGCGCUCCAUCACGCUUCCGAUGCAUCGAGUGGUAGUGUUGAGAACCACGGAGACGGUUAGGACUCAGAAAAGGGGGGUCGGAUGCUGGAUGCUGUAUGAGGAAACCUUGAGAUAAAGAAGAAGAAGAAGAAGAAGAAGAAAGAAAAGAAUAAUCAUAAGAAGGAGAAGCCCAGAAGAAAAUCCUUCAAGAACUCAUUUCUUUGGAGGUGCGAUGGCCGGAAAUGAGAGUCGGAUUCAUAACAAACGUGGAAAGUUUAUUGGAAGGAGGGUUAUGAAAUAGUAUUGAAUAGAGAAAAAAAGAAAGAGAGAGAAAGGAAAGUAGAGAGAGAGGGAUAAAAAGAGGUAGAUAGAAAGAGAGAAAGAAAGGGGGAUAAUA
rnacentral:lncRNA from 1 species